rnacentral:tRNA from 1 species
UAUAGCUUAAUGAUAGAGUAUGUGCUCAGGAUGCACAAGGCCUGGGUUCAAUACCCAGUA